AGAGAUUUAUGUAAAGGAAUUGGCUUACACGAUUUGUAGGGCAGGCCAGCAGACUGGGACCCCUCCACCAGGAGCUGAGGCUACAGUCCAAAGGAAGAAUAUUUUUUUUCAUCAGGGAAACCUCUGUUUUGCUCUGUAGGCCUUCCAGUUGAUUGCAUGAGACCCACCCAGAUUAUCAAGGAUCAUCUCCUUUACUUAAAGUCAACUGACUGCAGAUGUUAACCCCAUCUACAGAACACCUUCACAGCAACAUUUAGGUUAGUGUUUAAUUGAAUAACUGGGUGCUACAGCCUAGCCAAAUUGACACAUAAAACUAACUAUCACAGUGCCUCAGACAGAGAGGGAAAGAGAGAGGGAGGAAGGGAAGAGAAACUUAACCUACUUAUCUUUAGAUCUAAACGAAAAUUUGGAAACAAUCCUCGAGGAAUACUUAACCACAAGUUGAUCACAUAGAUUUGAGGCUAGAAUUUAUGCAUCUGUGUUACCUCCACCCCCCCAUAAAUCUACACUAACUAUUUCAUUAAAAGUGCUCAUAAGAGAACUUAUUGAGGUGAUGGAAAUGUUCUAAAACUGGAUUGUCGUAAUGUACAACUUUGGAAAUUUAUGAAAACUCAAACUGUACACUUAAAACGGGUAGAUUUUAUGAUAUGUAAAUUACACCACAAUAAAGCUGCUAAAAAAAAAAGUGCCCUGAACAACAUACUGUGCUUCCCAGGUUGUGAGAAGGGAGGUACAUAUGUUGCUGUUCGAAAUGAAAGAUAGUAUGGCCCCUAAGGAGGGAAAUUUGAAAAUGUCUAGCAAGAGUGCAUAUGCAUUUAUUGAGCCAGAAAUUUACAGUGAUAUUCAUUGCCACACUAUUUACAAUGGCAAAGGCUGAAGACAACUGAAUGUCCAUCAAUAGGGGAUUAAUUGAAUAAAUAAUGGUAUGUCCACACAAUGGAGUACAAUGCAGGUACAGCAAGGAAUGAAGAGCUCUAUAUUCUGCUAUGGAAUGAGUGAAAAAAGCACAUUGGAGAAAGCAUUUGUAGUAUGCUGUUGUUUAUCCAAUAAAGGGAGGAGAUACGUAAAUGUAUUUUUAUAUUAAAAAAUAAUGGAAGGAUAAACCAAAACAAAUUUUUUUUUUUUAAGAUUUUAUUUUUUUCCUUUUUCUCCCCAAUGCCCCCCAGUACAUAGUUGUAUAUUCUUCGUUGUGGGUCCUUCUAGUUGUGGCAUGUGGGAUGCCGCCUCAGCGUGGUUUGAUGAACAGUGCCAUGUCCGCGCCCAGGAUUCAAACCAACAAAACACUGGGCCGCCUGCAGCGGAGCGCGCGAACUUAACCACUCGGCCAUGGGGCCAGCCCCAACCAAAACAAAUUUUUUAAUGUUAUUUAAAGGAGAAGGGAGGAAAUAUGUUGGAGGGGACAGUGAUAGAAACUAAACUUUUCUGGAUAUAUCUUGUUUUAUAUAUUUGACUUUAGAACAAUAUAAAUGUUUUAUAUAAUUAAAAAACAUUGUUAUAAAAAAGGCAAUCAACUUUUAAAAAGCAAAAUUAAAUAAAUAAACUUGUGUAUCAAGUGGGCACUUGGAGAGUAAAUAUUUCAAGUGAUUUUAAAAUGUUUCUAGUCAGAUAUACUUAAUCUUUAAAAAGAAGUCCCCUCAUUGGAACAUCUGGCCAUAUCAUAAAAUAAAAGAGCUAGUAAAGCUAUGAGCCGAUGACCAAAAGAUAAGAAUAAGAAAAGCAAUCUACAAUGGAAGAUCUAAGGAGCUUCAAAAAGGAAUAAAUGAGAAAGGAAAAAAAAGUAGCCCCUUGGAUGCUAGACUCAGGGGGCCAAUUUUCUGCACUUGGAUGCAUUUUGUCUCCAGCGUCACCUUUGGCCACCCUGUGGUAGAAAGUGUCCAGCUAGGCUUUGACAUGCACGUGAUAGCAUCCAGGCUGGAACAGUGGGUAAAACCAAAGGCUGUAGCAGGAACCCAUCAAUAUAGUUUAAUCUCGAGGUUACUGAGAAACCAGGGGCUUUGACCAAAGACAUAGUGAGAACGAGAUGAAAUUGACCUUGCCAUCAAACCAGGAACUACAGGUGAGCAUUUGGCACCAUGGGCUAAUCAGAUAAAGAUAGCCUUGGUUAUGACAGUGGGACCUGGGUUUGGAAGGCAGAAAUUCAUGAACGAUGUGAUGCCAAAGGUUCACUGGUUGAGGAUCCAGUUCCCAUCUUUGGACUUAGAGGUUGACUGUGAAGUGGGUCCUGACACCGCCCAUAAAUGUAGAGUCCUGAGGUAACAUGAUUGUGUCUGGCAAUGUCAUUUUGAGGAGUGAAGGUAUCGUAUCUGUGACCAAUGUGUUAAAGAAUGUUUGCUCAGAGGCUGCCCAGAAACAUUCUCUUGGUUAAUGAAAUGUCAAAGAGCCCAAUGUUUUUGCUCACAUUUCUAAUUUUAACUAGAAAGCAAGAACGUUGACAACCAAAUCAUAUUGCAGGCGAGGUAAUGUUGCUUUUCCGAGCAAUUAUUCAUUCCAACGACUAAAAUCUAUUUUACAGGAUGUUCUGAAAGGUCAGAAAUUGAUGUAUACAUUGUGAAUAUAUUUUUAGUGUGGUGAAUAUUCUGCUUUUACUUGGUG
ensembl:lncRNA